rnacentral:rRNA from 1 species
UAGGGAAUCUUCCACAAUGGACGCAAGUCUGAUGGAGCAACGCCGCGUGAGUGAAGAAGGUCUUCGGAUCGUAAAACUCUGUUGUUAGAGAAGAACACGAGUGAGAGUAACUGUUCAUUCGAUGACGGUAUCUAACCAGCAAGUCGCGGCUAACUACGUGCCAGCAGCCGCGGUAAUACGUAGGUGGCAAGCGUUGUCCGGAUUUAUUGGGCGUAAAGGGAACGCAGGCGGUCUUUUAAGUCUGAUGUGAAAGCCUUCGGCUUAACCGGAGUAGUGCAUUGGAAACUGGAAGACUUGAGUGCAGAAGAGGAGAGUGGAACUCCAUGUGUAGCGGUGAAAUGCGUAGAUAUAUGGAAGAACACCAGUGGCGAAAGCGGCUCUCUGGUCUGUAACUGACGCUGAGGUUCGAAAGCGUGGGGAGCAAACAGGAUUAGAUACCCUGGUAGUCCACGCCGUAAACGAUGAGUGCUAGGUGUUGGGUCCUUUCCGGGACUCAGUGCCGCAGCUAACGCAUUAAGCACUCCGCCUGGGGAGUACGACNNCGGAGGUUG